GGCGGACGGGUGAGGAAUACGUGGGUAACGUGCCCUUGACUCAGGGAUAGCUGCGGGAAACUGCAGGUAAUACCUGAUGAGACCACAAAUGUCAUAUGACAUAGAGGUCAAAGAUGGGGACCCUUCGGGGCCUAUUGGUCAUGGAGCGGCCCACGUCCUAUCAGCUAGUUGGUGAGGUAACGACCCACCAAGGCUGCGACGGGUACCGGGGCUGAGAGGUCGGCCCGGCACAUUGGCACUGAGACACUGGCCAGACUCCUACGGGAGGCUGCAGUAACGAAUAUUCCGCAAUGGGCGAAAGCCUGACGGAGCGACGCCGCGUGUGGGAUGAAGUCCUUCGGGAUGUAAACCACUGUCAGGGGUUACCAAGUGAACAAGGCUAAUACCCUUGUAAGCUGAGGCACCCCAGAGGAAGCCACGGCUAACUUCGUGCCAGCAGCCGCGGUAAUACGAAGGUGGCGAGCGUUGUUCGGAAUCAUUGGGCUUAAAGAGCACGUAGGCGGCUCAUCAAGUGUCCUGUGAAAUCCCUCGGCUCA
rnacentral:rRNA from 1 species